rnacentral:rRNA from 1 species
AUUGAACGCUGGCGGCAUGCCUUACACAUGCAAGUCGAACGGCAGCACGGGUGCUUGCACCUGGUGGCGAGUGGCGAACGGGUGAGUAAUACAUCGGAACAUGUCCUGUAGUGGGGGAUAGCCCGGCGAAAGCCGGAUUAAUACCGCAUACGAUCUACGGAUGAAAGCGGGGGACCUUCGGGCCUCGCGCUAUAGGGUUGGCCGAUGGCUGAUUAGCUAGUUGGUGGGGUAAAGGCCUACCAAGGCGACGAUCAGUAGCUGGUCUGAGAGGACGACCAGCCACACUGGGACUGAGACACGGCCCAGACUCCUACGGGAGGCAGCAGUGGGGAAUUUUGGACAAUGGGCAAAAGCCUGAUCCAGCAAUGCCGCGUGUGUGAAGAAGGCCUUCGGGUUGUAAAGCACUUUUGUCCGGAAAGAAAUCCUUGGCCCUAAUACGGUCGGGGGAUGACGGUACCGGAAGAAUAAGCACCGGCUAACUACGUG